GUCUAAGCGGUUGAUGGCGAUUGGAUCAAGAGUUGGUCAAUGAUCGAAUCAUGGAGGCUUGGAACCAAUUCAAGAGUUGAAGACCAGUUGAUCGAUUGACGUGCAUGUGCUUGUAAUACGACCUAACUAGAAUCCAUGAUCAUCACCUAUUUAAAGUUUAGCUUUAAUUAUUGCUGCGAUUAUAACUGCCUGCAAUGUGCCGUUUGCAUGUGAUGUGAAUGUGAGUCGGGUAGAUAGGUUUACAUGUGAUGUAGCAAACCCAAUUGAGACCUAAAUCAAAACCUCCUCAAUCAAN
rnacentral:lncRNA from 1 species